rnacentral:rRNA from 1 species
UACAGAGGGUGCGAGCGUUGUCCGGAAUCACUGGGCGUAAAGGGCGCGUAGGCGGUCGCGUAAGCGUGUGGUGAAAGCCCGGGGCUCAACCCCGGGUCGGCCAUGCGAACUGCGGGACUGGAGCAGAUCAGAGGCAGGCGGAAUUCCGGGUGUAGCGGUGGAAUGCGUAGAGAUCCGGAAGAACACCGGUGGCGAAGGCGGCCUGCUGGGAUCUUGCUGACGCUGAAGCGCGACAGCGUGGGGGAGCAAACGAGG